GAUGAACGCUGGCGGCGUGCCUAAUACAUGCAAGUCGAGCGAACAGACGAGGAGCUUGCUCCUCUGAUGUUAGCGGCGGACGGGUGAGUAACACGUGGAUAACCUACCUAUAAGACUGGGAUAACUUCGGGAAACCGGAGCUAAUCCCGGAUAACAUGUUGAACCGCAUGGUUCAACAGUGAAAGACGGUCUUGCUGUCACUUCUAGAUGGAUCCGCGCCGCAUUAGCUAGUUGGUAAGGUAACGGCUUACCAAGGCAACGAUGCGUAGCCGACCUGAGAGGGUGAUCGGCCACACUGGAACUGAGACACGGUCCAGACUCCUACGGGAGGCAGCAGUAGGGAAUCUUCCGCAAUGGGCGAAAGCCUGACGGAGCAACGCCGCGUGAGUGAAGAAGGUCUUCGGAUCGUAAAACUCUGUUAUUAGGGAAGAACAAAUGUGUAAGUAACUAUGCACGUCUUGACGGUACCUAAUCAGAAAGCCACGGCUAACUACGUG
rnacentral:rRNA from 1 species